rnacentral:lncRNA from 1 species
GCACUUUGCGAAUUUUAGUGUCAGAACUCCACUCUCGCCUCGCGUUGAGUCUGUUUUGCAUUUAUUUCACGCCAAAAUGACUCCGACUUGUCCCGACACUCUUCAGAUGUGUCGACAAGCCUUAGAUGCUGAAAACUCACAAACAACCAAACAUCAGGUACACUCCAUCCUUCCCACUACAAAAAGUUUCGUUCUCGAAACUUAGAAUCAUACCUCAAACCUCAGCCUCAAACAAGUAGG